GCAAACUUGGUCAUUUAGAGGAAGUAAAAGUCGUAACAAGGUUUCCGUAGGUGAACCUGCGGAAGGAUCAUUAUUGAAUGUAUUUACAAGUGGUUGUAGCUGGCUUUUCGGAGCAUGUGCACGCCAUUUGUUUCUACUAUCUUUCCACCUGUGAACUUUUGUAGAUCAUGAAUGAAACUCGUCUGAAAAUGGCGGUCUGAGGGACUUGUUCCUUGUAGUUCGUGAUCUAUGUUAUAUCAAACUCUAUAAUUGUUUUUGAAUGUCUGUUUAAAUGGUCUAUGACCUUUAAAUACUAUACAACUUUCAGCAACGGAUCUCUUGGCUCUCGCAUCGAUGAAGAACGCAGC
rnacentral:misc_RNA from 1 species